GGGCAAGAAAGGUGAAAGUGGAUUGCCUGGAGUGGACGGGCUUCCUGGAGUCCCUGGUAUUCAUGGUCCAGCUGGGACAGCAGGAAGCAAAGGGCAGACUGGACCUCCUGGUCUACCUGGUGAAAUUGGAUUUUCAGGCAAACACGGGGAGCCAGGGAAGUCUG